rnacentral:misc_RNA from 1 species
GAUGAAGAACGCAGCGAAAUGCGAAAAGUAGUGUGAAUUGCAGAAUUCAGUGAAUCAUCGAAUCUUUGAACGCACAUUGCGCCCCUUGGUAUUCCAUGGGGCAUGUCUGUUCGAGCGUCAUUUUGUACCCUCAAGCACUGCUUGGUGUUGGGCGUUUGUCCUGCAGAGGACUCGCCUGAAAGCGAUUGGCGGCCAACGUAGUCGUGGCAGAGCGCAGCACAAUCUCGCGUCUCUCCCCUCUGCGUCGGCGUCCAUGAAGCCCACAAUCUCAACGUUUGACCUCGGAUCAGGUAGGGAUACCCGCUGAACUUAAGCAUAUCAAUAAGCGGAGGA